rnacentral:rRNA from 1 species
UACGUAGGGGGGCAAGCGUUGUCCGGAUUUAUUGGGCGUAAAGAGCGUGUAGGCGGCCUGGUAGGUCAGCUGUGAAAACUCGAGGCUCAACCUCGAGACGCCGGUUGAAACCAUCAGGCUAGAGUCCGGAAGAGGAGAGUGGAAUUCCUGGUGUAGCGGUGAAAUGCGCAGAUAUCAGGAAGAACACCCCGUGGCGAAGGCGGCUCUCUGGGGACGGUACUGACGCUGAGACGCGAAAGCGUGGGGAGCGAACAGG